rnacentral:rRNA from 1 species
UACGUAGGGUGCAAGCGUUGUCCGGAAUUAUUGGGCGUAAAGAGCUCGUAGGCGGCUUGUCACGUCGGUUGUGAAAGCCCGGGGCUUAACCCCGGGUCUGCAGUCGAUACGGGCAGGCUAGAGUGUGGUAGGGGAGAUCGGAAUUCCUGGUGUAGCGGUGAAAUGCGCAGAUAUCAGGAGGAACACCGGUGGCGGAGGCGGAUCUCUGGGCCAUUACUGACGCUGAGGAGCGAAAGCGUGGGGAGCGAACAGG